GCAGUCGACGGCAGCGCGGGGCAACCUGGCGGCGAGUGGCGAACGGGUGAGUAAUAUAUCGGAACGUACCCAAGAGUGGGGGAUAACGUAGCGAAAGUUACGCUAAUACCGCAUACGAUCUAAGGAUGAAAGUGGGGGAUCGCCAGACCUCAUGCUCCUGGAGCGGCCGAUAUCUGAUUAGCUAGUUGGUGAGGUAAAGGCUCACCAAGGCGACGAUCAGUAGCUGGUCUGAGAGGACGACCAGCCACACUGGAACUGAGACACGGUCCAGACUCCUACGGGAGGCAGCAGUGGGGAAUUUUGGACAAUGGGCGCAAGCCUGAUCCAGCAAUGCCGCGUGAGUGAAGAAGGCCUUCGGGUUGUAAAGCUCUUUUGUCAGGGAAGAAACGGUAGAGGCUAAUAUCCUUUGCUAAUGACGGUACCUGAAGAAUAAGCACCGGCUAACUACGUGCCAGCAGCCGCGGUAAUACGUAGGGUGCAAGCGUUAAUCGGAAUUACUGGGCGUAAAGCGUGCGCAGGCGGUUUUGUAAGUCUGUCGUGAAAGCCCCGGGCUCAACCUGGGAAUUGCGAUGGAGACUGCAAGGCUUGAAUCUG
rnacentral:rRNA from 1 species